rnacentral:rRNA from 1 species
UCAAAGGAAUUGACGGGGACCCGCACAAGCGGUGGAUGAUGUGGUUUCAUUCGAUGCAACGCGCAAAAACCUUACCUACCCUUGACAUGUCUGGAAUCUUUUAGAUAUAGAUAGAGUGCCCGAAAGGGAGCCAGAAGCACAGGUGCUGCAUGGCUGUCGUCAGCUCGUGUCGUGAGAUGUUGGGUUAAGUCCGCGCAACGAGCGCAACCCUUGUCAUUAGUUGCUACAUUUAGUAUGGGCACCCUAAUGAGACUGCCGGUGACAAACCGGAGGAAGGUGGGGAUGACGUCAAGUCCUCAUGGCCCUUAUGGGUAUGGGCUACACACGUCAUACAAUGGCCGGUACUAAAGGGUUGCCAACCCGCGAGGGGGAGCUAAUCCCAUAAAACCGGUCGUAGUCCGUGAUCGUAGUCUGCAACUCGACUGCGUGAAGUCGGUAAUCGCAUAG